GUGUGUGUGUGUGUGCAGUGUAGAGAUGAUGUUUGGCUGGCUGGUCAUCACUUCAUCUUGAUGUUUUAUUUAAUUUGUCAGAUUACCUAGACCUGUAUGUAUUUAUGUAUUUUAUAUUGCAUAUUUUUGCUGCCGAGCUUCGGGACAAUGGCUAAAACCGUGUUUUAAAAAAUAUUAUACACCUCAAACAAUUAGAAAAUGCAGUGCUAUUAGAAACAAACAGUUCAUAGUGAGUGAUACUGAUAUAGCAUUAUUAGAUGUAGAUAGAAAAAUGAAACAAGCAUGAAAAGCUUUGUUUUUAUUUUUAUUCCAAUUUAAGAUUUUUGUAUAAGGUAACCUUUCUCGUUUUUAUUAUGCUUUACUUUAUCUAUUAUAUGUUGUAAUUUAGCCAAAGAAAAUGUUUUCAUUAAUUUCAAUUUAAUAUGUUUGACCAGUUUGCCCUUCACCCAAAGCUUAAAUGUGUAAAUAUUUUAUCUAUAUUUUGAAGUAAUUUACUUGUGUUACACGAGAUGUAUUAGGUGUCAUCACGUGAUUAAUUCAGACCAAUGAGAUGAGAGCGUUGGACGAGAGUCUGUAUAGCUAAUGAGCUUGAUUCCGGUGUUAUGGAUCAACUGGGGAUCGUGUUAUCUGGGGACAGGCGCGUGCACGCACGUAAAUUUACCUGAUUUCCCAGUAGAUGUUAGACGGUGGCAGAUUCGUCAAAUGUGACUUCCCGUGAAUCCAGGUUAAAAAUCGGACAACAUAAGCCAAGCCCACGUUAAAAUGGGACGUUCGUUUCAACAUGAGGUGUUUAACUACACUUGUCAGCGGAUUUACUAUGGGAACUGUCUGGGUGUAUGCUUCCAUGCUGUACCCUGGAUGUAUUGAAAAGGUGAUUUAGGCAAAUGCUGAAGGCAGCUGGGUGCUGAUAAAAUGUAACCUUGCAAAGGAAAAUAUGUUUGUUCUUUGUAAUAGUUUGAAAUAAAGUCAAAUACACUGACAAAAAUAUUCAUUCAAUUUACUGAUAUUUUUAAGGUAAGUGGUUGCAAUCAAUUUAUUUAAGCUACAUUUAAAAAAAGUUAUUUUUAAAACUUUUUUUAUGUAGCUUAAAUAAAAUAAAAGUAAAUUUAAAUGAAUAUUUUUUUCAGUGAAGUGUGUUUGCUAAAGGGUAAUCUCACAUACACACUUGCUGUAUGUUUGCAACAAUACAAGGUAUAUUUCCUUUACUCUGCUUGGGUGAUCAGGUACUAAAUGUGGUAAAAAAAAUGUCAUAUUAAUAGAUAUGA